GAGUUUGAUUCCUGGCUCAGGAUGAACGCUAGCUACAGGCUUAACACAUGCAAGUCGAGGGGGAAACGACGAAUCGAAAGCCUGCUUUUGAUUGGGCGUCGACCGGCGCACGGGUGAGUAACGCGUAUCCAACCUGCCCAUCACUUGGGGAUAACCUUGCGAAAGUAAGACUAAUACCCAAUGACGUCUCUAGAAGACAUCUGAAAGAGAUUAAAGAUUUAUCGGUGAUGGAUGGGGAUGCGUCUGAUUAGCUUGUUGGCGGGGUAACGGCCACCAAGGCGACGAUCAGUAGGGGUUCUGAGAGGAAGGUCCCCCANAUUGGAACUGAGACACGGUCCAAACUCCUACGGGAGGCA
rnacentral:rRNA from 1 species